rnacentral:rRNA from 1 species
AGCUCCAAUAGCGUAUAUUAAAGUUGUUGCAGUUAAAAAGCUCGUAGUUGGAUUUCGGGAUGAGAAGCAUGGUCUACCGAAAGGUGUGUACUAGGCGGCUCAUUCUUCCUUCUGUAGACCUUUGUGGUUCUUGAUUGGAUUGCAGAGUGGAUGCAGAACGUUUACUUUGAAUAAAUUAGAGUGUUCAAAGCAGGCAUUUGCUUGAAUACAUUAGCAUGGAAUAAUGGAAUAGGACUUUGGUUCUAUUUUGUUGGUUUCUAGGACCGAAGUAAUGAUUAAUAGGGAUAGUUGGGGGCAUUAAUAUUUAAUUGUCAGAGGUGAAAUUCUUGGAUUUAUGAAAGAUUAACUUCUGCGAAAGCAUUUGCCAAGGAUGUUUUCAUUAAUCAAGAACGAAAGUACG